UACGUAGGGCGCAAGCGUUAAUCCGGAAUUAUUGGGCGUAAAGAGCUCGUAGGCGGUUUGUCGCGUCUGCUGUGAAAUCCCGAGGCUCAACCUCGGGUCUGCAGUGGGUACGGGCAGACUGGAGUGUGGUAGGGGAGACUGGAAUUCCUGGUGUAGCGGUGGAAUGCGCAGAUAUCAGGAGGAACACCGAUGGCGAAGGCAGGUCUCUGGGCCACUACUGACGCUGAGAAGCGAAAGCAUGGGGAGCGAACAGG
rnacentral:rRNA from 1 species